AGAACACAGGUGCUGCAUGGCUGUCGUCAGCUCGUGUCGUGAGAUGUUCGGUUAAGUCCGCUAACGAGCGCAACCCUCGUCGUAUGUUAUAUGUGUCAUACGAGACUGCCGGUAAAAGCCGGAGGAAGGUGAGGAUGAUGUCAAGUCAGCAUGACCUUUAUAUCCAGGGCUACACACACGCUACAAUGGUCUGUACAAUGGGUAGCCAAGCCGCGAGGCGGAGCCAAUCCUGAAAGCAGGCCUCAGUUCAGAUUGCAGUCUGCAACUCGACUGCAUGAAGCCGGAGUUGCUAGUAACCGCAGGUCAGCAAUACUGCGGUGAAUACGUUCCCGGGUCUU
rnacentral:rRNA from 1 species